rnacentral:rRNA from 1 species
GACGUAGGGCGCAAGCGUUGUCCGGAUUUAUUGGGCGUAAAGAGCUCGUAGGCGGUUUGUCGCGUCUGCUGUGAAAACGCGAGGCUCAACCUCGCGCCUGCAGUGGGUACGGGCAGACUAGAGUGUGGUAGGGGAGAUUGGAAUUCCUGGUGUAGCGGUGGAAUGCGCAGAUAUCAGGAGGAACACCGAUGGCGAAGGCAGAUCUCUGGGCCAUUACUGACGCUGAGGAGCGAAAGCGUGGGGAGCGAACAGG